rnacentral:rRNA from 1 species
AACAGUUAGAAAUGACUGCUAAUACCGGAUGAUGUCUUCGGACCAAAGAUUUUAUCGGCAAAGGAUGAGCCCGCGUAGGAUUUAGGUAGUUGUGGGGUAAAGGCCUACCAAGCCGACGAUCCUUAGCUGGUCUGAGAGGAUGAUCAGCCACACUGGGACUGAGACACGGCCCAGACUCCUACGGGAGGCAGCAGUGGGGAAUAUUGGACAAUGGGCGCAAGCCUGAUCCAGCAAUGCCGCGUGAGUGAUGAAGGCCUUCGGGUCGUAAAGCUCUUUUACCAGGGAUGAUAAUGACAGUACCUGGAGAAUAAGCUCCGGCUAACUCCGUG